GCCAUCUUAGCUCAAUUGGUAGAGCACAUCACUUGUAAUGAUAAGGUUAUCGGUUCAAGUCCGAUAGAUGGCU
rfam:Cyanobacterium stanieri PCC 7202, complete genome.